UGCGGAGGAUGCGAGCGUUAUCCGGAUUUAUUGGGUUUAAAGGGUGCGUAGGCGGGCUUUUAAGUCAGCGGUAAAAAUUCGGGGCUCAACCCCGUCCGGCCGUUGAAACUGGGGGUCUUGAGUGGGCGAGAAGAAGGCGGAAUGCGUGGUGUAGCGGUGAAAUGCAUAGAUAUCACGCAGAACCCCGAUUGCGAAGGCAGCCUUCCGGCGCCCUACUGGCGCUGAGGCACGAAAGUGCGGGGAUCGAACAGG
rnacentral:rRNA from 1 species